UACGUAGGUGGCAAGCGUUACUCGGAAUUACUAGGCGUAAAGCGCAGGUAGGUGGUCGGAUAAGUCCAUGAUGAAAGCUCCUGGCUUAACUGGGAGAGGUUCGUAGAUACUGUCUGACUCGAGUGUGGGAGAGGUAACUGGAAUUCCCGGUGUAGCGGUGAAAUGCGUAGAGAUCGGGAGGAACACCAAAGGCGAAAGCAGGUUACUGGCCCAAUACUGACACUGAGCUGCGAAAGCUAGGGGAGCAAACAGG
rnacentral:rRNA from 1 species